UCUGCGUAACCCAUGGAUUUUUUUUUCUUUACUAGUUAGCCCUUGACCUAACUACCUACUAUAGUAUAAUCAAUAAUCGUGCGAAUUUUCUGACAGAUGCUAAUGUCACUUUGUAAAAUAAUGAUACCAUAUUUAUUGUCAUAGUGAUGUCCUGUUCUGUAUAGGUAAAAAAUAGUGCCCCAGAUCAUUCACUCUCAAAGAGGAAUUUUGAACAGAAAUUUCUAUCAUAGCGCUUAGUGACAGACGGUUGAAAGAAAAGUACCCUUUUCUAUGUCCUCCUGGUUCUAAGGUACCUCUCCACCAAUUGUCAGCCAAAUCGGUCCAGCCGUUCUUGUGUUGUAAGUAUUGUAACAAAUCCGACUUAAUAUAGAUACUAAUAUUAUAUAGGGGAAAGAUUUGGUUGUUUGUUUGCAUUGAAUAAACAAUGACUAUUCAAAUGUUCGACGGACGGAAACAUCCUUGAUCCUACAUAACUAAUUUUUCCACCGAGCGUUUAUGUUUCUUUUGUGAGAAAUCUUUACCCUUCAUUUGGGCCCCUCAACUAAUUUUGAUACAGGGCCCCUCCAAGGCACGCUACGCCACUGCCACCGCGCACGCCACUGCUCCACGGGGGCCGUCAAAACAUAUGACGGAGGGUCUUAGGAUAUUGUUCUUAAUAACCUAGUUGACAUCUGUAGUGCAAUGUUUUCUCUGUCUCCUAUAAAAUGGUCGAGGUGUCAAUCGAUUCGGAAUUGAAUGUAGAUAGUUUUUGAAAAAAUUGCAGGCCCGCCUCGCAAUUAUUGCAAAGUUAUAAACAAUUAACCUUUGACACCUAUAUAUAAUUAUUAUUAUCUAUGUAUCUAAGCAAUUAACUAAAAAUAAAAAAAAGGUUCGGUCUUUGACAUAAAAUGGGGUUCCGCCGGCCGCUGAAACACGGGCACGUCGCCGCUGGGAAGGGUACGACUCAGAUAUUUUUACUUAGUACUAAAUAUUGAUUUAAAAAUCUGAAAAAAAUACAAAAUGAUUUCCAGACAGCAAAAUAAACUACUGUCAACAAAAAAGAUUUUCUUUGAUUUUUCAAAGAGUUGUAAAUGAAUGAGAGAGACUUGUAAAUUUAAUAUAUAUUUUUCUGACGCUCUGUUUUUAUAAAAAUUAACAUAAAAUUGAUUCAUCUAUUCUAAGAACCUAGUUCUUUUUGGAGCCUUUUUACAUACAUAUUUUACAAGAUUGUGUCAAAACAACUAACAAAAGUUUUUUAGUUUGUAAGUUAUUAAUUUUUGAAAUCCAAAACCCCUUUUUUUAUUUUUAGUUAAUUGUUUUUAACUUUUGCAUUUUGCAAGGGGGCGUUCAAAUUUCUUUAAAACUACAUUCAAUUCCAAAUCGACUGAUACUCAACCAUUUUUAUAGGAGACGGAGAAAAAAUUUUGUACUACAGAGCACAUGCUUAACAGGCUAUAAGCUCUUAAGAUAUUGUUGUCAUUUUUUUUUAAAUAAGUGUCUUUUUUGCAUUUCAAAAUAUCAUAGUGUGAUAUGUCUAAUAAAAGGACUUGUUAGGAUCUACAUUUGUCAUAAUCAUUGAAUCUUAAAAUGUUGAAUUGUAUAAGCUAUUACAUAUGUUUUCUUUUUUAUUUGUUUGCUUUUAAAUUAGGAUUAUACAUAGUCUAUUUAAAUUUUUCAUACACCAAAUUAUUAUGGUAGAAAGUAUCUUAUUAUAUUUAAGUAAUCUUUGUAAACCUGCUUUCUGAUGAAUAAAUAAAUUAGCUUGCCUUCCAUACAAUGACACACUAUAUAGCACUAUACCCACUCUCAUGAACAACAUUGUAAGUUGCUAAAAUAAGUAACAACCACACAGCUGUGUAUGUAUUGUUUCCACUUUUUUAUAGUAGCCUGCAAACUCUACUGUUAAAUUAAA